rnacentral:rRNA from 1 species
AGGACGAACGCUGGCGGCGUGCUUAACACAUGCAAGUGGAGCGACGAACCAGGGCUUGCCCUGGGGCAGAGCCGCGAACGGGUGAGUAACACGUGGGUUACCUGCCUCGAUGACCGGGACAACCCGAGGAAACUCGGGCUAAUACCGGAUGUGCCCGCAAGGGGAAAGGAAGCUUCGGCCUCCGCAUCGAGAUGGGCCCGCGGCCCAUUAGCUUGUUGGUGAGGUAACGGCUCACCAAGGCUUCGAUGGGUAGCUGGUCUGAGAGGACGAUCAGCCACACUGGGACUGAGACACGGCCCAGACUCCUACGGGAGGCAGCAGUGGGGAAUCUUGCGCAAUGCGCGAAAGCGUGACGCAGCAACGCCGCGUGGGGGAAGAAGGCUUUCGGGUUGUAAACCCCUUUCAGUUGGGACGAAGCUUCUCCGGUGAAUAGCCGGACGGAGUGACGGUACCUUCACAAGAAGCACCGGCUAACGUACGUGCCAGCAGCCG